UACGUAGGGUGCAAGCGUUGUCCGGAAUUAUUGGGCGUAAAGGGCUCGUAGGCGGUCCAUCGCGUCGGGAGUGAAAAGCUGGGGCUUAACCCCAGUCCUGCUUCCGAUACGGGUGGACUAGAGGUAGGCAGGGGAGAACGGAAUUCCUGGUGUAGCGGUGAAAUGCGCAGAUAUCAGGAAGAACACCAAUGGCGAAGGCAGCUCUCUGGGACGGUACUGACGCUGAGACGCGAAAGCGUGGGGAGCGAACAGG
rnacentral:rRNA from 1 species